CCUACGGGAGGCAGCAGUGGGGAAUAUUGCGCAAUGGGCGAAAGCCUGACGCAGCGACGCAGCGUGAGGGAUGAAGGUCUUCGGAUCGGUAACCUCUGUCAACAGGGAAGUACGGUCACUGUGCUAAUCAGCAGUGAAUUGACGGUACCUGCAAAGGAAGCACCGGCUAACUCCGGGCACGCAGCCGCGGUAAUACGGAGGGUGCGAGAGUUAAUCGGAUUUACUGGGCGUAAAGCGUUCGUAGACGGGAUGUCAAGUCAAGGGUGAAAUCCCCGCGCUCAACCUGGGAAUUGCCUUUGAUACUGGCAAACUGGAGUGUGUGUGAGGAUAGUGGAAUUCCUGGUGUAGGAGUGAAAUCCGUAGAUAUCUGGAGGAACAUCAGUGGCGAAGGCGACUAUCUGGCACAUAACUGACGCUGAGGAGCGAAAGCGUGGGUAGCAAACAGGAUUAGAUACCCCGGUAGUC
rnacentral:rRNA from 1 species